ACUUGGAAACAGGGGCUAAUACCCCAGAACCAUAGUGACCGCAUGGUAACUAUGUAAAAGGUGGCUAUGCUACCGCUUUUGGAUGGGCCCGCGGCGCAUUAGCUAGUUGGUGGGGUAAAGGCUUACCAAGGCAAUGAUGCGUAGCCGAACUGAGAGGUUGAUCGGCCACAUUGGGACUGAGACACGGCCCAAACUCCUACGGGAGGCAGCAGUAGGGAAUCUUCCACAAUGGGCGAAAGCCUGAUGGAGCAACGCCGCGUGGGUGAAGAAGGUCUUCGGGUCGUAAAACCCUGUUGUUAGAGAAGAAAGUGCGUGAGAGUAACUGUUCACGUUUCGACGGUAUCUAACCAGAAAGCCACGGCUAACUACGUGCCAGCAGCCGCGGUAAUACGUAGGUGGCAAGCGUUAUCCGGAUUUAUUGGGCGUAAAGGGAACGCAGGCGGUCUUUUAAGUCUGAUGUGAAAGCCUUCGGCUUAACCGGAGUAGUGCAUUGGAAACUGGGAGACUUGAGUGCAGAAGAGGAGAGUGGAACUCCAUGUGUAGCGGUGAAAUGCGUAGAUAUAUGGAAGAACACCAGUGGCGAAAGCGGCUCUCUGGUCUGUAACUGACGCU
rnacentral:rRNA from 1 species